rnacentral:misc_RNA from 1 species
GAUGAAGAACGCAGCGAAAUGCGAUAAGUAAUGUGAAUUGCAGAAUUCAGUGAAUCAUCGAAUCUUUGAACGCACAUUGCGCCCACUAGUAUUCUGGUGGGCAUGCCUGUUCGAGCGUCAUUUCAACCCUCAAGCUCAGCUUGGUGUUGGGGCCUGCUGCACUGGCAGCCCUUAAAAUCAGUGGCGGCGCCAUCUGGCUCUAAGCGUAGUAAUUCUUCUCGCUAUGGAGUCCUGGUGGAUGCUUGCCAUCAACCCCCAAUUUUUCUAUGGUUGACCUCGGAUCAGGUAGGGAUACCCGCUGAACUUAAGCAUAUCAAUAAGCGGAGGA